rnacentral:rRNA from 1 species
AACAUACGCUGGCGGCGUGCCUAACACAUGCAAGUCGUACGAGAAAGGGUCCUUCGGGGCCUGAGUAAAGUGGCGCACGGGUGAGUAACGCGUGGAUAAUCUGCCCUUCAGUUGGGAAUAACUCAUCGGAAGGUGGGCUAAUACCGAAUAAUGCUGUGAGACCUCGGUUGAUCAGCCAAAGAGAGCCUCUGCUUGCAAGCCCUCGCGGACGGAUGGGUGCGGGUACCAUUAGCUAGUUGGUAGGGUAAUGGCCUACCAAGGCGACGAUGGUUAGCUGGUCUGAGGGGAUGAUCAGCCACACUGGAACUGAGACACGGUCCAGACUCCUACGGGAGGCAGCAGUGAGGAAUCUUGCGCAAUGGGGGCAACCCUGACGCAGCAACGCCGCGUGAGUGAGGAAGGUCUUCGGAUCGUAAAGCUCUGUCGGAUGGAAAGAACCGCAUAGGGGUAAACAGCCCCUGUGUCUGACGGUACCAUCAAAGGAAGCACCGGCUAACUCCGUGCCAGCAGCCGCAGUAACAC